rnacentral:rRNA from 1 species
AGCAGCCGCGGUAAUUCCAGCUCCAAUAGCGUAUAUUAAAGUUGUUGCAGUUAAAAAGCUCGUAGUUGAAUUUCGGGGUUAGUAGAUUGGUCAUGCCUUUGGUAUGUACUGGUCUUACUGAUUCCUCCUUCCUGAUGAACCGUAAUGCCAUUAAUUUGGUGUUGCGGGGAGACUGGACUGUUACUUUGAAAAAAUUAGAGUGUUUAAGGCAAGCUAACGCUUGAAUACAUUAGCAUGGAAUAAUGAAAUAGGACGUUCGAUCUUAUUUUGUUGGUUUCUAGGAUUGACGUAAUGAUUAAUAGGGAUAGUUGGGGGCAUUAGUAUUCAAUUGUCAGAGGUGAAAUUCUUGGAUUUAUUGAAGACUAACUACUGCGAAAGCAUUUGCCAAGGAUGUUUUCAUUAAUCAAGAACGAAAGUUAGGGGAUCGAAGACGAUCAGAUACCGUCGUAG